rnacentral:rRNA from 1 species
GAUGAACGCUGGCGGCGUGCCUAAUACAUGCAAGUCGAGCGAACGGACGAGAAGCUUGCUUCUCUGAUGUUAGCGGCGGACGGGUGAGUAACACGUGGAUAACCUACCUAUAAGACUGGGAUAACUUCGGGAAACCGGAGCUAAUACCGGAUAAUAUUUUGAACCGCAUGGUUCAAAAGUAAAAGACGGUCUUGCUGUCACUUAUAGAUGGAUCCGCGCUGCAUUAGCUAGUUGGUAAGGUAACGGCCUACCAAGGCAACGAUGCAUAGCCGACCUGAGAGGGUGAUCGGCCACACUGGAACUGAGACACGGUCCAGACUCCUACGGGAGGCAGCAGUAGGGAAUCUUCCGCAAUGGGCGAAAGCCUGACGGAGCAACGCCGCGUGAGUGAUGAAGGUCUUCGGAUCGUAAAACUCUGUUAUUAGGGAAGAAUAUAUGUGUAAGUAACUGUGCACAUCUUGACGGUACCUAAUCAGAAAGCCACGGCUAACUACGUGCCAGCAGCCGCGGUAAUACGUAGGUGGCAAGCGUUAUCCGGAAUUAUUGGGCGUAAAGCGCGCGUAGGCGGUUUUUUAAGUCUGAUGUGAAAGCCCACGGCUCAACCGUGGAGGGUCAUUGGAAACUGGAAAACUUGAGUGCAGAAGAGGAAAGUGGAAUUCCAUGUGUAGCGGUGAAAUGCGCAGAGAUAUGGAGGAACACCAGUGGCGAAGGCGACUUUCUGGUCUGUAACUGACGCUGAUGUGCGAAAGCGUGGGGAUCAAACAGGAUUAGAUACCCUGGUAGUCCACGCCGUAAACGAUGAGUGCUAAGUGUUAGGGGGUUUCCGCCCCUUAGUGCUGCAGCUAACGCAUUAAGCACUCCGCCUGGGGAGUACGACCGCAAGGUUGAAACUCAAAGGAAUUGACGGGGACCCGCACAAGCGGUGGAGCAUGUGGUUUAAUUCGAAGCAACGCGAAGAACCUUACCAAAUCUUGACAUCCUUUGACAACUCUAGAGAUAGAGCCUUCCCCUUCGGGGGACAAAGUGACAGGUGGUGCAUGGUUGUCGUCAGCUCGUGUCGUGAGAUGUUGGGUUAAGUCCCGCAACGAGCGCAACCCUUAAGCUUAGUUGCCAUCAUUAAGUUGGGCACUCUAAGUUGACUGCCGGUGACAAACCGGAGGAAGGUGGGGAUGACGUCAAAUCAUCAUGCCCCUUAUGAUUUGGGCUACACACGUGCUACAAUGGACAAUACAAAGGGCAGCGAAACCGCGAGGUCAAGCAAAUCCCAUAAAGUUGUUCUCAGUUCGGAUUGUAGUCUGCAACUCGACUACAUGAAGCUGGAAUCGCUAGUAAUCGUAGAUCAGCAUGCUACGGUGAAUACGUUCCCGGGUCU